GUGGGCAAGUGCGUCCCAUUUGCUCAGCGUGGGGGCAACAUAGGUAUCGUCCAAGUAGUCAGGGACGAAGAAGUCUUCAGUUCUGGAGAUGGCAAGGGCAACUGGCUUGUGCCCGGAUCGUUCUGGUGCAGCUUCUUCAGUGUUGCUGGUCUCAGCAGCUUCUGCCCGGGGAGCAUUGCUCCUCUUCACGUAUUGUUUCAUUUGUCCAUUUCUAAUCAGAAUUUCAAUGGCGUCUUUAAGUUGUAUGCAAUCGUCAGUCAGAUGGCCGUAACCUUUGUGAUAUUUGCAGUACCUGCUCUUGUCUUGGCCAGGCUUUGUGGGUUGUUGUCUUGGAAAUUUAAUUCCUGCUUUAGUGAACUCAGCUGAGUUGCACUCUUUCCAAAUUUCUUCCUGGGAUUUGCUAAGGGGAGUAUAGUUGCUGAACGUGCUAGGAGGUCCACGGGGUUCCCUAGGCCUUUCGCCUCUUCGUCUUCCUCCUCCUCGGCUGGAGUGUUCAGCAUUUGAACGAGGAGCAGGUUGACUGUUUCCUGCUCGCCCAUAACGGGCAGCGUCUGCAGCUUGUUGCUCUUCAUAUUGGAUGUAUGGUUGAGACUUGAGGAGGAGGUCGCUAAAGGUGCGUGGUUUUUCGAUUCCCACGGCUUUU
rnacentral:lncRNA from 1 species